GCUUCGGUAGUGCAAUGGAUCAGCACGGCAAGCCGGAGUUCUGUGUGUGCGGGUUCGAGUCCCGCCUGAGGGU
rnacentral:tRNA from 1 species